GGGGGCGCACUGGUUUCGACGGGGAUAUGGAAUCAGGAGUAGCGAGUCGUUGUCGCCGAACAACGUUAAAAGUGGCACAAACAAUAAUUGACAACAAUAAUUACGCAUUUGCAGCUUAGUUAAAGCUGUCGUUCUAUCUUUGUAGCCCACGGCUUAGAAUAGAACGUCAACCUAGUGGGGAACCGAGCCAAGUAAAGCUUUGAGCCUGGAACGGAAACUAUGAAGCUACUAAGGCCUAUAUCCCGUUAGUAGGAGAUAGGCUAAGGGAAUGUUAAAUUACUAACUGCACUCGGAGAAACUCUUGUGGAAGUGUUUUCGGACGUGGGUUCGAUUCCCACCGCCUCCACCA
rnacentral:tmRNA from 1 species